UUCAACCUCUAAUAGAUACUAUCCUGUGACUUUGGACAAAUUACGUAGCCUCUCUGCCUCAGUUUCCUCAUCUAAAUCUGGGUAAUAAUAUGUAUAUUUUAAGGCUUUUAUAGGAUUAAGUGAAUUAUCUAGGUGCUUUAGUAUCUGACCCACAGUAAGUACUCAAUAAGUGUAAGCAAUUACUAACCAUAAAUAGCCAAUACUUUAUUAUAAUAAUUACUAAUAUCAGCAUAUUUAAAAAUGAAGUUAAAACUGCAAAGGUGCUUUGAGGCUGCCUCUGCAUUCUUAGAAAAUAGAACGUGAUUCUUCCUGUUAUUACAGGUUUCUGGGUGUAAGAGACUAAUCCAAAUGUUACUCUCACUGUGUCUAGAGUUUUCACAGUAAAGUAACAGCUUUAUAUAAACUGUCAUAUUCCUCGAAUCAACCCGAAUAACAGAAUCAUACCUUUGAAAACCUCUCCAGAACUGAUCUCUAGUGAGAAGAUAAAUCCUAGAAGACAACGUGUCAGUCUGCUUAGUUAAGACAGGGCUUCUGAGUUCUGAAGUCUUGCCCAUGUGUAGCUAGAACAGAGCCAAGACUAUGCACUAUCUCUGAAGGCUAAGGACAGAAUUUCAUCCCAAGUGAGGGAAGAAUAUUAUUCCAAAGAGCCUAUUACUGUUUCUGUCUGUUCCUCGUUAAGUGUGGCAGGAUAAUAUUAACAGGUUGCCUCCUCCAACCACUAUCCUCUCGCUGUUUUUGUGCAUCACUCCACCCCAAAUGAGCAGCGAGGCAUUCUGUGCUUAUUGCUUUAAGGGAAGAUGUGACAGCAAAGAAAGCGUCCUUCCUGGCUUUGGUGUUGCAAAAGGCUUGGCUUUACAGGAACAAAAAAGACUCCUGGCAGAGCAAGAGAUUUGGAUAAAACAUGUUUUGUAAGAGCCUGGCUUUCCACUCGCAGAGAAAACUAAAACAAACCCAUCUCCUGUGCUGGGGACCAAGGAGGCUGUGAGUGGUACAGAGGGGAGAGAAGGAGGGGAGCAGUGGGGGCCGGUCUCCACUGUCCCCGAGAUCGGGAGUCUGAACCAAGCUCCCCAGUCCCAUCCCUGGGACACUGCAGACCUCCGUAGUUGGGUUUGUGAGAUCCGAGAGCAGGAGGAAGGUGUGCCCAGAGACCUGAACACAGCCCAGGAAGGCAGUGGGCCCAGAGAGAGAAUAUGGCCUCAUGGGACUCAUGGUGUGAGUAGGUAGAUGGCAACUAGACGGACUCUCAAAGACCUCCUGUGCCCUAACUUGGAAUGUGAGCAAAACGGUAUCCCUGUAUAUCCAGGUGUGCCGUGGAAGAGGAAAGACACGCCCACACUUCAAGGGAGCUUGCAGAAGGGAACUCUGAGCCCAGCAGAGGCUGGGGAAACUGAUGACUGCGUUAAGAUGCUGAGUUUCUCACUGGAUGCCCAUGUAGACAGAUGGCACUGGAAACCAGAGGCUCCCAACCUAAACACUCAUCACCAAACUAGACAUUCUCAAAUUCAGAUCCAACCGCGGGGGUGGUGGGAGAUACCAGGAAUUGGCAGAGAUUAUGGUAUCACCAACCCUUCGGAAGAGGCAAUUCAAAACUGAACUGAACGUGAGUUAUAGAAAAAUAAACUUGUGUUUGUACCUUCACAUGGGAAUAGGCUGUGAUAAGGACCCAGACCAGUUUGAAGUAACACCCAACCCCAUUGUCAAAGGUAAGAAAUCAGGAAGGACACCAGGGACUGGGGAGAAAGCUUCAGGAUCUUAGAUGUUAAGAGUCAGCCUCUGACAGCAAAAUCGGAACUCGGGGAAGAGGUCCACAUGCAACUCUAAGGAGACAACAUGAAUCUGCUCCUAGAAGGAGCGCUGGUGUUGAUGAGGUGGUAACGUGUCGGAGAAGGUCCUAAAUGAGGACCCCUGCCCUGAACCACUCAGAGAAACGGCUGCUUCCAGUACAAGGUCAAUCAUUAAACAUUAGAGUGGAAAAGCAGCGCACAGGCUCUGCCUGCUAGAUGUGUGACUCUCUAAGGAUAAUUGUAGGUCUUCCGAGUGGGAACGUUGAACCAACGGAAGACAGCAGAUGCCACCAGGGGACAGCAGAGUCUCUGCCAUGAGCAGAAAUCAUCCCACAGACAGAAAUGAUGCCAUGCGCUCUGGGCCGGAGGACCCCCAUGCGACAAGAUCCAUCCUCCAGGAGCUGGAGGUGAUGCGACAAAAAAGGGUAUUGAUGACCGGUGCACAGUGACACCAGCGUGAUCCAGUUCCUUUGGCAGAAUGAUUUGUGGGAAUUAAAAGAACUAACGUUGCUGAAUAUGUACUGUGUGCCUGAUGCUUUCACGUGCCUUGUAAGCAUCGUCUGCAUCCUAGCGUCCAAGUCAACCGUUCUAGAUCAACACUGAUGGCUGGUGGUGACAGUCUGAAGUUCAAAAAGAAAGGAAUAUCUCACCUUGCUAAGAAGAAAGGUUUCGGAGAGGGUUAUGACUUUCCUCAGAUGGCAACAAUGGAUCUAUUUAAGUCCUGGAACUCUGCUGGUUGCCCCAGAAAUCUGUACUACAAAGCAUCAUCCAAAAAAAGAGUGAACCUUGACUGUAAAACCUGUGAGGCUGGUGUUUGAAUCCCUUUUCACAGAGGAGGAAACCAGGUAGAAGAGGCUAAAGAACAUGUCCCAAGGCUAUGUUGUCAGAGCUGUCAGGCCGUGAAACAUGCUGGCU